rnacentral:rRNA from 1 species
GAGUGGCGAACGGGUGAGUAAUGCAUCGGAACGUGCCCAUCGAUGGGGGAUAACUGCGCGAAAGCGUUGCUAAUACCGCAUACGACCUACGGGUGAAAGCAGGGGACCGCAAGGCCUUGCGUCGAUGGAGCGGCCGAUGCCGGAUUAGCUAGUUGGUGAGGUAAAGGCUCACCAAGGCGACGAUCCGUAGCUGGUCUGAGAGGACGACCCAGCCACACUGGGACUGAGACACGGCCCAGACUCCUACGGGAGGCAGCAGUGGGGAAUCUUGGACAAUGGGCGAAAGCCUGAUCCAGCAAUGCCGCGUGUGGGAAGAAGGCCCUCGGGUUGUAAACCACUUUUGGCGGGAAAGAAAUGGUCUGUGCUAAUACCACGGAUUGAUGACGGUACCCGCAGAAUAAGCACCGGCUAACUACGUG